GUGCCAGCAGCUGCGGUAAUACGAGGGGGCAAGCGUUGUUCGGAAUUAUUGGGCGUAAAGGGCGCGUAGGCGGUUUGGCAAGUUUGGUGUGAAAUCUUCGGGCUCAACUCGAAGUCUGCACCGAAAACUGCCGGGCUUGAGUAUGGGAGAGGUGAGUGGAAUUUCCGGUGUAGCGGUGAAAUGCGUAGAUAUCGGAAGGAACACCUGUGGCGAAAGCGGCUCACUGGACCAUUACUGACGCUGAGGCGCGAAAGCUAGGGGCAAACAGGAUUAGAUACCCUGGUAGUCCUAGCCCUAAACGAUGAUUGCUUGAUGUGGCAGGUACCCAAUCCUGCCGUGUCGAAGCUAACGCGAUAAGCAAUCCGCCU
rnacentral:rRNA from 1 species